rnacentral:rRNA from 1 species
GAUCCUGGCUCAGGACGAACGCUGGCGGCGCGCAUAACACAUGCAAGUCGAACGAGCGAGAGAGAGCUUGCUUUCUCAAGCGAGUGGCGAACGGGUGAGUAACGCGUGAGGAACCUGCCUCAAAGAGGGGGACAACAGUUGGAAACGACUGCUAAUACCGCAUAAGCCCACGACCCGGCAUCGGGUAGAGGGAAAAGGAGCAAUCCGCUUUGAGAUGGCCUCGCGUCCGAUUAACUAGUUGGUG